GACGAACGCUGGCGGCGUGCUUAACACAUGCAAGUCGAACGGAAAGGCCCUGCUUUUGUGGGGUGCUCGAGUGGCGAACGGGUGAGUAACACGUGAGUAACCUGCCCCUGACUUUGGGGUAACUUCAGGAAACUGGGGCUAAUACCGGAUAGGAGCUCCUGCUGCAUGGUGGGGGUUGGAAAGUUUCGGCGGUUGGGGAUGGACUCGCGGCUUAUCAGCUUGUUGGUGGGGUAGUGGCUUACCAAGGCUUUGACGGGUAGCCGGCCUGAGAGGGUGACCGGCCACAUUGGGACUGAGAUACGGCCCAGACUCCUACGGGAGGCAGCAGUGGGGAAUAUUGCACAAUGGGCGGAAGCCUGAUGCAGCAACGCCGCGUGCGGGAUGACGGCCUUCGGGUUGUAAACCGCUUUCGCCUGUGACGAAGCGUGAGUGACGGUAAUGGGUAAAGAAGCACCGGCUAACUACGUG
rnacentral:rRNA from 1 species